rnacentral:rRNA from 1 species
AAAUGAAUUGACGGGGGCCCGCACAAGCGGCGGAGCAUGUGGAUUAAUUCGAUGCAACGCGAAGAACCUUACCUGGGCUUGACAUAUACAGGAUUGCUGCAGAGAUGUAGUUUCCCUUGUGGCUUGUAUACAGGUGGUGCAUGGUUGUCGUCAGCUCGUGUCGUGAGAUGUUGGGUUAAGUCCCGCAACGAGCGCAACCCUUGUCUUAUGUUGCCAGCACGUUAUGGUGGGGACUCAUGAGAGACUGCCGGGGUCAACUCGGAGGAAGGUGGGGAUGACGUCAAAUCAUCAUGCCCCUUAUGUCCAGGGCUUCACACGUGCUACAAUGGUCGGUACAAUGCGCAGCGACACUGUGAGGUGGAGCGAAUCGCUGAAAGCCGGUCUUAGUUCGGAUUGGGGUCUGCAACUCGACCCCAUGAAGUUGGAGUCGCUAGUAAUCGCAGAUCAGCAAUGCUGCGGUGAAUACGUUCCCGGGCCUUGUACACACCGCCCGU